AUGAUAUCUCAAGGUGGAAUAUAGAAAAAUAAACUCGAGGAUUGCAGCCUUUAAUAAAAGUACAAAAAAAUUUAGAAAAUAUAUGUAAAUAAUUAUAAAGCUGUGAACAAAACUGAAGGUAUAUGAAAAGGAAAAGAAUUAACUGUUGCAUGCUGUAAGACUACCCAAAACUAACAUGGGGGUGCUAGCUGCUGACCCCCGUGCCGGUAUGGACCCACUGGACAAUUACUAAAUAAAACUACUAAUAUAUGUAUGUAGCACACAUUUCAUUGCGAUCUUAAUGUCGCACAAUUCAACGCCACUCGGGUCAUUCACCGCGCCAUAAAAGUCGCUGUAUUGACGCCGCGGACAUAAAUCCUCCAAAAAUUUGGCGCGUACAUGGAAAAUAACGCACAAAACAACAAACCAUAAAGGAGCUGUGCAGCAACAAUAAAAAUUCAGCAACAUAAACUUUGAUGUAUUUUCAAAUGCUUUAAAACGCACAAUCAAAAAACAAAAACAAACAAAUAACGAGCGAGCACUUUAAAUGAAGCCCACGCUGUUGCUACCUGCCGAAGAGGCUACAAAUGCGAAGACAGACGGAAAUAAGCUUACUUUAGGAUGGUUAAAGCGUUAUUUGGAAUAUUCGGUCGACUUUAUACGCAUGCAACCAAGUCAGUUACAUAAGAAUGGGCUUCGUAUGAUUAUGAAGUUUAAUUUAUUUACAUUUUGGGUGAAUA